rnacentral:rRNA from 1 species
CACGUAGGGGGCGAGCGUUGUCCGGAAUUACUGGGCGUAAAGGGCGCGUAGGCGGCCUGUUAAGUGGAGUGUGAAAUCGCACAGCUCAACUGUGCGACUGCGCUUCAAACUGGCGGGCUUGAGGUCAGGAGAGGGAAGUGGAAUUCCCGGUGUAGUGGUGAAAUGCGUAGAGAUCGGGAGGAACACCCGUGGCGAAAGCGGCUUCCUGGUCCAGCACCGACGUUCAGGCACGAAAGCGUGGGGAGCAAACAGG